rnacentral:rRNA from 1 species
UACAGAGGUCUCAAGCGUUGUUCGGAUUCAUUGGGCGUAAAGGGUGCGUAGGCGGCGCGGUAAGUCGGGUGUGAAAUCUUGGAGCUUAACGCCGAAACUGCAUUCGAUACUGUCGUGCUUGAGGACCGGAGAGGAGACUGGAAUUUACGGUGUAGCGGUGAAAUGCGUAGAUAUCGUAAGGAAGACCAGUGGCGAAGGCGGGUCUCUGGACAGUUCCUGACGCUGAGGCACGAAGGCCAGGGGAGCAAACGGG